rnacentral:rRNA from 1 species
UACAGAGGUCCCAAGCGUUACUGAGAAUCACUGGGUUUAAAGGGUGCGUAGGUGGUCCGUUAAGUCAGUUGUGAAAUCCCCGGGCUCAACCCGGGAACUGCUUCUGAUACUGGCGGACUUGAGGCCAGUAGAGGUCACUGGAACUGACGGUGGAGCGGUGAAAUGCGUAGAUAUCGUCAGGAACGCCGGUGGUGAAGACGGGUGACUGGGCUGGUUCUGACACUGAGGCACGAAGCG